rnacentral:rRNA from 1 species
UACGUAGGGUGCGAGCGUUAAGCGGAAUUACUGGGCGUAAAGCGUGCGCAGGCGGCGCGUUAAGGCAGGUGUGAAAGCCCCGAGCUUAACUUGGGAAUUGCGCUUGUGACUGGCGUGCUGGAGUGUGGCAGAGGGAGGUGGAAUUCCACGUGUAGCAGUGAAAUGCGUAGAGAUGUGGAGGAACACCGAUGGCGAAGGCAGCCUCCUGGGCCAGCACUGACGCUCAUGCACGAAAGCGUGGGGAGCAAACAGG